AUGAAAAUCUGGAAAGUGAAGAAGUGCAGAGUAACCAUGGCCUUGCAGCUACGUCCAAGACUAGACCUCAAACACGUGAAAAGCGCAGGGUCUGUGGGAAAAAUAAAUGCAAGGAAGUACCUGAUCUCACGGAGUCCCAAUUUUUUUUACAAUAACCAUGCGCUUUCCAAAAGUUUUGCACGACACUUGGGUAGAAUCGUCCGUAAUACUAGAAUUACCCCGAUGAGGGUAAAGGAAUGGUCCAAUAUUACUGAUGCAGCUCGGAAACAUAUAUUUGAUGCAAUUAAGGACAAAUUCAAAAAUAUUGACAACAACAUUGCAAUAGAUGUGUACAAAGAUGAGAUAUUAGACCAUGUUAAGAAACUUUGGAUCAACUGGCGUGGUGACUUGCAUCGGCAUUUUGUGAAACCCAACAAGACUAUGCAGGAGGCUAUGAAAAAGGUACCUAAAGAUAUUCCAAAGGAUGACUGGGAAUGGCUUGUCAAGGAGCAUUUUUUCAGCAAGGAGUUUCUGAAAAAGAGCAAGAGAAACACCCAAAACAGAGCUAACCUCAAAAUGCUUCACCGAUCUGGCAGUAAACCCUGUAGACAAAUAAUUUGGGACAUGGGAGGAAAGGAAAACAAGCCACCGAGUAUGGAUAAACUAUUUUCAGAGACACACAAGAAGGGUACAGACUUCCCUGAUUCUACAACCUCAGCCAAACAUGCACAAAUUAAGACCAUAGUUCAGUUGAAUCCUGGUCUUUCAAAUAAUGAAGUCAUGCGGAAAUGUAACACAUCUAAGCAGCGUGAUCGUGUAGUUGGCUUUGCUGAUGGAAUUAGAGCAAGGGAUUUGCGAGGACCAGCAUUAAGUAAGGCUGAAUUAGUUUCUCAACUUCAAGCUUCUGAGCAAGCAAAACAAGUACUCGAAGAAAAGGUCAAUGGCAUGGCGCAAGAAGUAUCAGAAAUUAAGUGUCUUCUAUCUGGUAGAUCUCUAACUGAUAGUUCUCAUGAACGCCAACAUGAUCAAGACUGA
rnacentral:rRNA from 1 species